UGCGUAGGUGGUCGUUUAAGUCCGUUGUGAAAGCCCUGGGCUCAAUCUGGGAACUGCAGUGGAUACUGGGCGACUAGAGUGUGGUAGAGGGUAGCGGAAUUCCUGGUGUAGCAGUGAAAUGCGUAGAGAUCAGGAGGAACAUCCAUGGCGAAGGCAGCUACCUGGACCAACACUGACACUGAGGCACGAAAGCGUAGGGAGCAAACA
rnacentral:rRNA from 1 species